GUUUACGUUUGAAACGGGGCGUUUACCGUUGGAAACGGAAAUGUUUCACUGCUCAUUCGACGUGUUAUAGUGAAAAGCCUAAUUCAAUUAUUUUUCAUGUUUUGAUGUGCUUUUGUGUACUUUUCAGUGUUUCCAAGCUCACAAUAUUGUAAGAGCGACCAAACUUGUUUAUAUUCAUACUUUUUGUGACUAGAACGUAUUAUCAUGGGCUGGAAAAUAUUGAAACGUGCACGGAGGCACAUCAAAACAUGACAGUUGCGCCAAAAAUAGCAUAAGGCUUUUCAAUGUGACACGUCACAUGAGCGGUCAAACAUUUCAGUUUCCAACGGUAAACGCCCCGUUUCAAACGUAAACAAACGCGCGAAAAUGUUUGCGGUUUGUGCUUGGACGAAAAUUGCUG